GGGUCAUCGGACCGCAUGGUCCGAGGAUGAAAGGCGCUCCGGCGUCGCCUGGGGAUGGCUUUGCGGUGCAUUAGCUAGUUGGUGGGGUAACGGCCCACCAAGGCGACGAUGCAUAGCCGACCUGAGAGGGUGAUCGGCCACACUGGGACUGAGACACGGCCCAGACUCCUACGGGAGGCAGCAGUAGGGAAUCUUCCACAAUGGACGAAAGUCUGAUGGAGCAACGCCGCGUGAACGAUGAAGGCCCUCGGGUCGUAAAGUUCUGUUGUAAGGGAAGAACAAGUGCCGCAGGCAAUGGCGGCACCUUGACGGUACCUUGCGAGAAAGCCACGGCUAACUACGUGCCAGCAGCCGCGGUAAUACGUAGGUGGCAAGCGUUGUCCGGAAUUAUUGGGCGUAAAGCGCGCGCAGGCGGCCUCUUAAGUCUGAUGUGAAAGCCCCCGGCUCAACCGGGGAGGGCCAUUGGAAACUGGGGAGGGCUUGAGUAUAGGAGAGAAGAGUGGAAUUCCACGUGUAGCGGGUGAAAUGCGUAGAGAUGUGGGAGGAACACCAGUGGGCGAAGGCGACUCUUUGGCCCUAUAACUGACGCUGAGGCGCAAAGCGUGGGGAGCAAACAGGAU
rnacentral:rRNA from 1 species